UCCUCCGCCCCCUGUCAGAUAUGGAGGGGUUGGGGAAAGGAUGCCGUGUCCCUGAGUCUGCCCCUGACUGGCCAGCUGACGCCCAUUGAUAUCUCCAUGGCCGUGGUGAGGCAGGAGAGGACUCAAGGAUGGAGAGCUUAGGAUACCACACGGAGUGGUGUGAAGAAGCCUUGGGGAUGCCUGAAGGAGGGGCAGUGAAGGACGGAGGCCUGGAGGUGAAGGAAAUGCUGUAAAUUCCUCUAAUAUUGAGCACUUGUCUGGUCAGACCAUCCUUCACUGAAUAUUUGGACCGAGGCUUCGAGAUACGAGGUGAUCCCCCAGAACAGCGCAAUCCUGCCUACUUGUGAUGUGGCAGCCCUGAUCGUCCCCCUCCUUCUCUGCUCCUCCUCCUCAUCCUCCUCCUCCUCCAGCAAAGAAUAGAUGUUUAAUCAGCUGGUGGAAAGGGUCCUCGUCUUCAGCCGUUGUAAUAAUGGUGGGUGCUGUGGAAGUUAUCAAGGAGGUUACUGCCACGGCCACCUUUGCUACUCCCUGCCCACGGGAACGCCCUGGCUGCCGCGCACAUAAAUUACUGGCAAAGGCGGUGGUUAUGGUGGGGGUCCUGGUAUCCCCCCUCUCCCGCACUCCUUCGCUUCCCCCCUUGGACACUCCGGAACGAUGGAGAGCUUAGGAUACCACACGGAUGGGGGUGAAGGAGCCUUGGGGAUGCCUGAAGGAGGGAUAGUGAAGGAGGGAGGCCUGGAGGUGAAGGAAAUGCAGAAAAUUCCUCUAAUACUGAACGCUUCUCUGCUCAGACCAUCCUUCACUGAAUAUUUAUACUGAGGCUUCGAGAUUCGAGGUGAACUCCCAGAACAGGGCCAUCCUGCCUGUUUGUGGUGUGCCAUCCCUGAUCGUCCCCCUCCCUUCCUCCUCUUCUUCCUCCUCGUCCUCCUCCUCCUCCUCCUCCUCCUACAGCAAAGAAGAGACGUUUAAUCAAUCUGGUGGAAAGGUUAGUGUUGUUGUU